UAGAUGAGGGAAAAUUGAGGAGAGGAGGAGAGGAGGUGGAGGGCAACAUGAUGUCUAAACCUAUUAUCUAAACAACAGGAGAGGAGAGGUUAAUAUGAGGAGUGACCGCUCUCAUGUAAAAGCCAAGAAAAUCCUGAACUGCCUCUUCAUGAACUACCAGUGACCCAUGUUCCUACAAAGAUUCAUACAGUGCAAAACAAGUGUUUGAAAUACAGUGAUGAAAGA